rnacentral:rRNA from 1 species
AACGCGAAGAACCUUACCUGGGCUUGAACCGCACAGGACCAGCUCCAGAAAUGGGGCCUUCCCGCAGGGGACCUGUGUAGAGGUGUUGCAUGGCUGUCGUCAGCUCGUGCCGUGAGGUGUUGGGUUAAGUCCCGCAACGAGCGCAACCCUUGUCUCAUGUUGCCAGCGGGUAAUGCCGGGGACUCGUGAGAGACUGCCGGGGUCAACUCGGAGGAAGGUGGGGAUGACGUCAAGUCAUCAUGCCCCUUAUGUCCAGGGCUUCACACAUGCUACAAUGGCCGGUACAAAGGGCUGCGAUACCGCAAGGUUAAGCGAAUCCUUUUAAAGCCGGUCUCAGUUCGGAUCGGGGUCUGCAACUCGAGCACAUGAAGUUGGAAUCGCUAGUAAUCGCAGAUCAGCACGCUGCGGUGAAUACGUUCCCGGGCCUUGUACACACCGACGCGUA